AAAAGAUGGUUCUGCUAUCACUCUUGGAUGGACCUGCGGUGCAUUUAGCUAGUUGGUAGGGUAACGGGCCUACCAAGGCGAUGAUGCAUAGCCCGAGUUGAGAGACUGAUCGGCCACAUUGGGGACUGAGACACGGGCCCAAACUCCUACGGGAGGCAGCAGUAGGGAAUCUUCCACAAUGGACGCAAAGUCUGAUGGAGCAAACGCCGCGUGAGUGAAGAAGGGUUUCGGCUCGUAAAAAGCUCUGUUGUUGGUGAAGAAGGACAGGGGUAGUAACUGACCCUUUGUUUGACGGUAAUCAAUUAGAAAGUCACGGGCUAACUACGUGCCAGCAGCCGCGGUAAAU
rnacentral:rRNA from 1 species